UUAGGAAUUUUGGGCAAUGGGCGAAAGCCUGACCCAGCAACGCCGCGUGGGUGACGAAGGCCUUCGGGUUGUAAAGCCCUUUUCUGAGGGAAGAUGAUGACGGUACCUCAGGAAGAAGCACCGGCUAACUACGUGCCAGCAGCCGCGGUAAUACGUAGGGUGCAAGCGUUGCCCGGAUUUAUUGGGCGUAAAGGGCGCGCAGGCGGCCCGGCGCGUCCGCGGUGAAAGCUCCCGGCUCAACUGGGAGAGGUCCGCGGAAACGGUCGGGCUGGAGCAAGGUAGGGGGUCGUGGAAUUCCCGGUGUAGUGGUGGAAUGCGUAGAGAUCGGGAGGAACACCAGUGGCGAAGGCGGCGACCUGGACCUGUGCUGACGCUGAGGCGCGAAAGCGUGGGGAGCGAUCCGG
rnacentral:rRNA from 1 species